rnacentral:tRNA from 1 species
GGUGAGGUGGCAGAGUUCGGUCGAUUGCACUGGUCUUGAAAACCAGCAUACCUUUGCGGGUAUCGUGGGUUCGAAUCCCACCCUCACCG